AUAAUCCAUUAUGGUCGCCCUACAUUGGGAGGCUCAGAUGAAAAUGAGGUGAGGAGAGAAUCGUACAACAAAAUGAAGGUGUUCAAAA